rnacentral:lncRNA from 1 species
GGGUGGUAGUCCAACCUUCAUAUAGAGCUUUUUAACCCUGAAAAGUAGUUGAUUGCACACCUGCAUCCAAACGAUGACAUGUACAUGUGGAACCAGGUUAUUUGUACCUAAGUCACUAUGUGUUUGGUGAUUUUCUUCUAGAAAGAAUGUAUUGUUGACAGUUUUGACGGGGUAAAAAUAGGGCUUAUCUACUGUCAACAAGAACCCCCAUAGUUAAGUCUUUGCUCGUCCUCGAGCAAAGGUUAGAGGAAGAUAACCUAUGAUUAUGACACUUUUAAGAUAUAAGCAAACACAAAUACUACUCAAGACAUAUCUUAUACAAGUGGGUUAUGUGGCACUGUCUAACAUAUAUCCUUAGGAUGUUGAAAAAAUGGAACAGUUCUCAAAGCAAAGUCAUCUUCCCAUUUUCAUAUCCUUAGUACUUAGAGUUUUUGAUAAAUGUUUUAAAAGAAAACACAUAGUUCAUCCUUACUCCUCUAAUAGUACUCUCAAGACACUCAGUAAGUAUAGGAUUCCUCACCAAGGCAUAACAUAAGAUUGCCUUCUUUUGUUUCAUCCUACAUCUAUUAGGCUUAUGGGGCUCAGGCAGGGGGAAACAAGAUAGCAUACUUUCAUUUUAUCUAUUGUAAAGUCAAAAUAAGGAUCCAAGGAUAAGAAUGUCAUAAUCCUAGAUCAAGAUAUGUAAGUGUGUGAAAAAUGAUUAGAAUAGAAUGCUCCUAUAUUUGAUAAGAUCUCUCUCUCUAUUUUAUUUGAGACAUGGCUAGCCUUGUUUUUUAUUUUUUCUUUUCUCUUUUUUUCAAAAGCAAUGGACCUUCAUGUGCCCACCUUUUUUUACUAAGCAUACCUUUGUGUCUGAUCUUAUAACCAAUACUUAAAGAGAGAAAUUCUAAACCUUAAAACAUGGAGCAUCUAUAUGGUGGAAAUGGAUGACAUGUUUUUGCGUACUUCCAGUGUAGAAGUAGCAUAUAUAUGUGGUGUGUGUGUGAUCUUGAUCUUGGGACUAUGACAUAAUUCUCAACUAGGGUCACAAGGAUUGACUAAACUCGACACAAGUACAAGUAGCAUAUAUAGAAGGGUUUUGAACAAGGUAUGAACAUAUAUGGCUGUGGUAGGAAUUCUCUUACUAUCGAGGAGUAAGUGACACUAUGGUUUUAUGAUAUUCUCAAAAAUAAAUCUCUAAGCACUUUGAAUAGAAAGGGUAUGAAUCAUGAGCUAAGAAGUAUAUCACAAUUGUCAACAACCAAGUCAAUAUGAUAUUCCUAUCAAGAUAUGUGACCCACAAGUAUAAGCAUAUGCAAGACUUAGACUUUGUGACACUUUUACCCUUUUAAUGUCAUGAAUCAUGUCACACUUUUAAUGUCAUAAAUCAUAUAUCCAAGUCUUCUUGUUUUUAUUUUUUGUUUUGUUUUAUCUAAUAAAGCAAACAAUAGACAAAAGUAAUAAAAAAUGAAAGAACAAAGGGGUGUUGACACUUGCUAACACCACUUGAAUACUAGGUUGUCAUCCCCAACAUGGAACUAGAGUGUACUAUGGUAUUUAUACGCACACAGAUAAAUCCGCAAGCGCACGGAUACCGUUGUAGGUUUUACCCGGUUAAAGGUUUUAUCGUAUCCACAGGGAAACGGGAGAACUGAUCUACGCUCUAACUUAACCUAGAUAGAUAGGUAGGUGUAAAUAGGAAAGAUGGUAGAAUUGAAUACGAACAAUAUUAAAGGUAAGAUAACAAUGGGUGAUAAUAUGGGAAUAGAGAGUAGAGCAAUCUAGUAUAUGGGCGAUGGUAGGAGAAUAAAGAGGAUAACUAUGGUUUCUCUACUUCAGAGGGGUAUAUCUAUGUCUGGGACGAACCACGUAAUAAGAAUAUACCACAAAGGAUGCUUAUCCAUAGGCCGAUAAACCCUACCAGUCCUACUAACGGGAGGUGGACUACAGGGGACCACACGAUCCGGCUAGACAAGGGAUAUCCACAAGUAAUCUAGGUCUAAGCACCACGCUUACACCUAUACUACAACUCUCACCUAUAGCGUCCUAUAGAUUAAAGUACUCAAAAGAGUUGUGAACCAGAACAUACAUGGAUAGUAAUUGCAUAAUGAAAUAGAAAUAGAUUACCAGAGUCAUCCCAUGAGCAAGCUUGAUUAGAGCUUGAUCAUGGCGAAGUACAACUGGAGGAAGAACCGACAGGCCGGCCUCUCCUCCAAUCCUCCCUCACUCUCCAUCUCGCUACUAUCUAGAUCUACUCUAGUUUAGAGAAGAGAGGAGAGCUCCCAUCUCCAAACCCUAGCUUUUGCUCUGUCUAUGAAUAAUGAAUAAGGAUGAAGGGGUUGCCUCCUCCAGGGGCUAGGGGGUCUGCUUAUAUAGUCCCCUCAAGUGAAUCUGGGUCGUCGGAUCAAACCGACAUUAAUCGCACGGUUUUCCUUAAUCCUUUAGGUCGGUGGAGCAUAAUCCGCGAGACGGAACCUGAUCGGUUCCUCUAGCUAGGCGGGCGCCCUGCCCCCGAGUCUGCUAGGCUUCCCGUUCGUUCCCAUGUCUUCUGGAGUCUUCUAGAUGAUAGAAAAUUGCACGGCACGUUAAUAUCUCUAUCUAAACCCGACAUGUGGGCCUUUCCUCCAUAUUUCCUGAUAACCCCCUACAGAAAUAGACAAACACCAAAACUCGUGGAAUUCUGUCAGAUAAAACCCUAAGUCUAGGUGUCGGUUGCAUUUGGAUCCUUUUCUUUAUUUAUCUGAGCAAGGAUGGACUCAAGAGUUUCUGCAGUGGUUUCAUGCCUUAAAGGUACACAUGCGUUCAGUCAAGAUCUCAUCUCUAGGUUAGGGUAAUCUGUUAAGAUUUAAACUUACUCAUUUUACCUUUGACCAUGGGGCUUGCAACCGUCACUUGUGUCUUGAGCAGUUAAAAGAGAGAACGGUCUAGUCAAGCGUCAUGUCUCUUAUUUUUGAUCAGCUAUAGCUCUGGAGUUUUUAUAGAUUUUCAAAAUAAAACUCAGAGAUUCCUUGUAUGACUCUCUCUAGUCUCUCUUUUGUGGUAUUUCUAGAUCCUUACCAAGGCAGUGAUGAUAUAUGCCUUCUCUAAGUAUGUGGUAUUUGUGGUAUGAAGCAUAAUGAUAUUGCCUUCUCUCUCACCCUACUCUAACAAGGUUUUGAUAGCUGGAACUCAUAGGUGGGAGACAGCUAAUACAUACUUACAAGACAUUUAUUGCAUAGUCAAACAAUGGAUCUAGAGAAACAAGUCAAUAAGUCAAAUCAAGAUGUGCAUGUGUGGCGAAUGAAUGGUGUAUGGUGAUGAUAGUGAUAAUGGUGAAAGCAAUGGUGAAAGUCUAAUUCUACUUUUGCUCUUUUGAGGGGAUACAUACCUUUCUUGCAGUUUGAAGCUUUUUGAGGAGAAUGAGAUGCUCUAUAUUUUCUUUUUCUUUUCUCUCAGGUGGGUAUCUUGUACCCCUAAUUCUACUAUUGGACACUUGUCCAUCUUUACCUCUCGUCUCACUUUUUCUUUUCUUCGAGGUUCCGGGCACUUGCCCCUUUUUAUUUCCUCGUAUUUUUUUCUUUUUUUUCUUCUCUCUCUUUUUUUAGAGCACUCACCCUCCUGGAAUAAUGUAGCAAGUCGUAGUAACCAAAAUAUCUUGAGCAUUUAUUUCACAGGGAAAAACAGGAAUGGGAUAAAGUUUUUGGCUAUUCUCUCCCGGAUAGGAGUAGAAUAAUUUUGGGUGAAUCUGGAGAUGGAAAUGAGUGGAUGGAUGCGUACUUCCGGAGUAGAAGCAGCAUGUAUGAGUGAACAUGCAAGUGAAUCUUGAUUUUAACUGUAUGACAAGCUCUUAAGGUUCUACACAGCUUGACCACACUCAAUGCUCAUAAGCAGUAAAAAAGUAAAUGUAUGGUUCAUAGUCUAAUAAGCAUGUAUAUUUAGCUGUGGUAGGAUUUUAAACUCUCAUCAUACAUACAGGAACUCAUCAUGCAACAUUUUAAAGAUUUUCAAAGAUAAAAUUCUCCAGAAUUCUAGCAUCUCUAGGAACAGAUAAACAGUAGCUCAACCUUCCCAUAUCAUAUCCGUUAAUGACUUAGACUUUAGAUCAAGUACUCUUCCCACAAGUUCAGGUUUAGAGCAAAUCUUAAUUCAUAACAUUCAUGCCUAAACUUGAGAGAGAAUUUAAUUUUGUGAACUAGUCAUGGCAGAGCAACUAUUCAUCAUUUCCAUGUGAGAGCUUAUCAUGAGGGUUCAUAGCAAGCUUUAUUUAUUUAUUUAUUUAGCAAACUAAGCAAAGAUAUAUAUAUAUAAGCACAAAAUCUUUAUUUGGGUUUUUAUAAUGAUGCAUCUUUUUAUUAUUUGAGUAAAGUAUAAACACGAGUAGAAACACUAAGCUGGAUAAAUGGGGGAGCUCUCCCCCAAGCUGGAUUUUGACUUAAUUUCUUCUGAUGUAGCUAGCAGGUGGCGGAGGUGUAUUUGAAUGUCGGCGGCACCCUGACUGCGAUUAGGAUGUCCUCCGUCUGCUAGUCUUCUUUGAUUCUUGAAUUCUGUGGAGCUCAAAUAGACAACAAAGCUUUGUGGAACUGGUUAAGUGUUAGCAUAAAAUCUCUUUGCCUUUAUCAUGUUGAGCUUCCUCCUAAUAAAUUUUAUUUAUUUAGCACGAUCAUGCACUUAUCAUUUUUAUAUUUUUAUUGUAAGAUGAAAACAUAUUUAUUUUAUGCCACCACAGUCAAUAUACCUAUGGGUUUUAAACCACAAGUCUACUCACGUGGG